UACGUAGGGGGCUAGCGUUGUCCGGAAUCAUUGGGCGUAAAGCGCGUGUAGGCGGCCCGGUAAGUCCGCUGUGAAAGUCGGGGGCUCAACCCUCGGAUGCCGGUGGAUACUGUCGGGCUUGAGUGCGGAAGAGGCGAGUGGAAUUCCUGGUGUAGCGGUGAAAUGCGCAGAUAUCAGGAGGAACACCAGUGGCGAAGGCGGCCUUCUGGACCAGUACUGACGCUCAUGCACGAAAGCGUGGGGAGC
rnacentral:rRNA from 1 species